GAUGAACGCUGGCGGCGUGCUUAACACAUGCAAGUCGAACGAAGCACUGUUGAUAGAUUCUUCGGAUGAUAGAUACAGUGACUGAGUGGCGGACGGGUGAGUAACGCGUGGGUAACCUGCCUCAUACAGGGGGAUAACAGUUAGAAAUGACUGCUAAUACCGCAUAAGCGCACAGGACCGCAUGGUCUGGUGUGAAAAACUCCGGUGGUAUGAGAUGGACCCGCGUCUGAUUAGCUAGUUGGUGGGGUAACGGCCCACCAAGGCGACGAUCAGUAGCCGACCUGAGAGGGUGACCGGCCACAUUGGGACGGAGACACGGCCCAAACUCCUACGGGAGGCAGCAGUGGGGAAUAUUGCACAAUGGGCGAAAGCCUGAUGCAGCGACGCCGCGUGAGCGAAGAAGUAUUUCGGUAUGUAAAGCUCUAUCAGCAGGGAAGAAAAUGACGGUACCUGACUAAGAAGCACCGGCUAAAUACGUGCCAGCCGCCGCGGUAAAAC
rnacentral:rRNA from 1 species